rnacentral:rRNA from 1 species
GACGAACGCUGGCGGCGUGCUUAACACAUGCAAGUCGAACGGAAAGGCCCUGCUUUUGUGGGGUGCUCGAGUGGCGAACGGGUGAGUAACACGUGAGUAACCUGCCCUUGACUUUGGGAUAACUUCAGGAAACUGGGGCUAAUACCGGAUAGGAGCUCCUGCUGCAUGGUGGGGGUUGGAAAGUUUCGGCGGUUGGGGAUGGACUCGCGGCUUAUCAGCUUGUUGGUGGGGUAGUGGCUUACCAAGGCUUUGACGGGUAGCCGGCCUGAGAGGGUGACCGGCCACAUUGGGACUGAGAUACGGCCCAGACUCCUACGGGAGGCAGCAGUGGGGAAUAUUGCACAAUGGGCGGAAGCCUGAUGCAGCAACGCCGCGUGCGGGAUGACGGCCUUCGGGUUGUAAACCGCUUUCGCCUGUGACGAAGCGUGAGUGACGGUAAUGGGUAAAGAAGCACAGGCGAACUACGU